AGGCGAUGGUGUUUGCGGGGGAUGGUCCUCUGCCUCAUCGACUCCGCUCCCCAAUUUAGCCGCCGUGCUCUUCUCUCCUUGCUUCCACUUCCGCAGCCUCUUGACUCGUUGUUGCCCUUCUCCCUUUGUUCUUUUGUCCCCCCCCCCCGUUUUUUUUUUUUUUUUUUUUUUUUUUUUUUCAUCUCUAGUUUUGGGCACCAGCCCCGGAGCGCGAGAAGCUGCUUCUGGGAGUAGUCACCAUGUCUCACUUUGGCAGAGCCGGGCCGCCUGAUAUCAGGGAUACUUACUCGUUGCUCGUGCUCAACAUCACAUUUCGAACUAGCGCUGAUGAUCUUUAUCCAUUAUUUGAUCGAUACGGCAAAGUGGUGGAUAUAUUUAUUCCUAGAGAUCGUCGGACUGGAGAAUCUCGUGGUUUCGCAUUUGUGCGAUACAAAUACGCUGAUGAGGCACAAAAAGCGAUUGAGCGCCUAGAUGGCAGGACCGUUGAUGGAAGAAAUAUCGUGGUGCAGAGUGCCAAAUAUGGUCGAAAUGACGAGCCAAUUCAUCGAGGAAGGAUCACUGACACAACUGUGAGGAAGGUUAGCAGGUCCAGAAGUCAGAGCCCAAGGCGCCCGAGCCGGGAUCGGAGAUACAGAGAGGAGGAUCGGCAUUCGAGAGACACACGCCGCCGUAGUCGCAGCCGAGAUCGCUAUGAAAGAGAGAGGUAUCGUGGUGGAGACCGUGAUGAUAGAUACCAAGGCGGAGAACGGGAUAGAGAAAGAGAAAGAGAAAGGGGUCGUGAUGUUAGGCGUCGCAGCGCUUCUCGUAGCACAAGUCGCAGUCGAAGCCGUAGUCGAGGCCGCGCGGAUAGGGAUUCAAAGCGAUUUGCUCGCAGCGGAUCCGACCGACCUAGGAGUUCUCCCCGGGGUAGUAUCAGCCCAAGUAAAGGACGUAGCUCAAGAAUGAAAAAGAGCAAGAGUCCUGAAAGGAAGAUGACUGUGAGUCGCAGCCGCAGCCGUAGCCGCAGCCGCAGCCGCAGCCGAAGCUUGAGUGGUAGUCCUCGGAAGCUGUCAGAUUCUGAAAAGCCCAUGGAGGAUAUGGAUACAAGGACUAAAGAUUUGUCUCCAGUGGAUCCUGUCCGGGGCAGUGAGUCUCCUGACCUCAAAGCGUCUCCUCCUCUUCGCCGAAUGUCAGUUUCACCAGGAAACCGAAGCCUCUCAGCGUCGCCGGUUCAAGGUAGCAUAUCCCCAGAGCAACCCCACCGCAGUCAGUCACCUGAUGUGCCUCGCAGUGUUUCACCCACUCAGUCUGAUGAAGCUUGAUUUAGAGACAUUCACUUGAGUUCACGCGUUUGGGAAGAAUGGAGUGGCUAGAAUUUAUAAUGGCAUGACGGGCAGCAGACUGAGGAUCGCUGGCUGUGAAAGGAAGUAGCAACUUAAAGUUUCGCCGUUGUGGAUUUGUUUGGCUGCGCUGAGUGGGGUCGUGGGAUUAACACCAUAUUUUUGGUGUGGCACCUGAGCUGUGGUGACUGGUGGCUGCUGGCCUUGGGGACUGCUAAGCUGCAUACUGCUGGUUUUGGGGGAGUUAGUUGGGGCGCUGAGUGUGCAGUCCAGUUGAUCCUCGCUGAUGCUGCUGGCCAGCUCCUACAUUUAUCGUGCCAAUUCGCUGGCAGAUCUACCACGUCUUUAUCCCAGUUGGGGCCCAGCUGCAGCAGUCUAGUGGGAUAUCAGUGUGAGAAUCCUGUGCAGCCUUGCCAAGUGAAGGUAAUAAUUACAGUAUGUGCAUGUACCUGGCCGGUUGUCGUUGUAACCUUGUUUCUUUGUAGAAGAGAUUGAGCUGUUUUUCUUUUUUGCAGGUAUCCCUUUCGUUAAGUCGUCUGACAUUUUGUGCAAGGGGAUUUUGUGUCAUGGGCAUUUCUUGGAUUGUUCGUCAUUCUAUAUUGUUAACCAAGCUUCUCUUAAGGGAAGAAUUGCAUGCCUUGAUCGCUGCAGAGAGGCUAUUAGAAUACUGUUUGCUACAGGAUUGUCUUUGUGAACGGCCAGUUAUGGUGUUCCGACCUCUAAGAACAAGUUAAGGGCGAGGAAAUCUCGCUGGCAUGCGGAAGGGAAAAGUACUCAUUUGUAGGUAUCUGCAGUGCCAAGGCAGCCGAUUUCACACACCUCUAUUCGUAUGUGGAGUAAUUCUAUUGGAUUAUCUGGUAACUACUAUGUGCAGUGCGAAUCUGACGACCAUUGCAAUGUCACCAAGUUAAGAAUGAAGGUGAAGUGCUAAAGCCCGGUGUAUCGGAGAAUUUUCUUUACGUUGGUUUGAUUUAUCAUUGUCUAAGCUUGCUGUUUAAAGAUUUCAGAACUGCAUGUUUACCAACAACCUUAUGAAUUUCGAAAACUACGAGAUAGCGUUAUGCACUAAAGAUUAUAUUAUAUUUAAUCUCUCUCUCUCUCUCUUUCUUCAGUCCUUGUAAAUGUUUUUCGAGAGCGUUUGGUGACAGUCCUGCAGGCUUCUGAACCUCUCUUGGCUCUUGCGCGAUAUGAACUUUUAGUGCAAGGAUCUUCACUCUGGGUUAAUAGCGGUCACACAUUUGUAUGAAGCAAAUGAUUCAUCGUUCAUCGUUAGCCUCUAAAUGUUUUUAAUUCAAUAUGUUUUAUCAUCAUGUAAAAAUGGAACCUUUUCUUCUGCUUAACCUCAUGAUUGUAGAGUUGGUAUAUAGAGUAUUUGUUUGUUUUGGAAAAACAGUGUACACUUCAAUUUAGUAUAGUGAAAAUUAUGUGCUUCCUUAUAGUUCAUCUUA